GACAGAGGGUGCAAGCGUUGUUCGGAAUUAUUGGGCGUAAAGGGCGCGUAGGCGGCUGAGCAAGUCGAACGUGAAAUCCCUGGGCUUAACCCAGGAAGUGCAUUUGAUACUGCUCAACUUGAGUCCCGGAGAGGGUGGUGGAAUUCCCAGUGUAGAGGUGAAAUUCGUAGAUAUUGGGAGGAACACCGGUGGCGAAGGCGACCACCUGGACGGAGACUGACGUUGAGGCGCGAAAGCGUGGGGAGCAAACAGG
rnacentral:rRNA from 1 species